rnacentral:rRNA from 1 species
CCCAAACCAAUAAAGUGUUCUUUAUUGGGGUUGCGGACAUAUCAUAACGAAGAGGUAUCGUAAUUGAAGAGGUUUGGAAAGACCCACCACAGAAGGUAAUAGUCCUGUAUGUUAAACGAGAAGACUUUAGAUAUGAUCCAGAGUACCACGGGACACGUGAAACCCUGUGGGAAGCAGGAGGGACCACCCUCCAAGGCUAAAUACUACCUAGUGACCGAUAGCGUAUAGUACCGUGAGGGAAAGGUGAAAAGAACCCCGGGAGGGGAGUGAAAUAGAACCUGAAACCCUGCACUUACAAGCUGUGGAAGCACAUUUCUUGUGUGACCGCGUACUUUUUGUAGAACGGGCCAACGAGUUACGUUAAGUAGCAAGGUUAAGCACUUAAGGUGCGGAGCCGUAGCGAAAGCGAGUUUUAACUGAGCGUUCAGUUACUUGACGUAGACCCGAAACCGGGCGACCUACCCAUGAGCAGGAUGAAGCGAAAGUAAAAUUUCGUGGAGGUCCGAACCCACGAGCGUUGAAAAGCUCGGGGAUGACUUGUGGGUAGCGGUGAAAUUCCAAUCGAGCCCGGAGAUAGCUGGUUCUCCCCGAAAUAGCUUUAGGGCUAGCCUCAAGGUGAGAGAUACGGAGGUAGAGCACUGAAUGUCCUAGGGGGUAUUGCACCUACCGAAGACUAUCAAACUCCGAAUGCCGUCAUCUUAUACUUGGGAGUCAGACUGUGGGUGAUAAGAUUCAUAGUCGAAAGGGCAACAGCCCAGAUCGUCAGCUAAGGUCCCUAAAUGUAAGUUAAGUGGUAAAGGAUGUGGGAUUGCACAGACAACCAGGAUGUUGGCUUAGAAGCAGCCACUCAUUCAAAGAGUGCGUAAUAGCUCACUGGUCGAGUGAUCCUGCGCCGAAGAUUUCCGGGGCUAAAACUUACUACCGAAGCUACGGCAUCA